AAAAAGUGCCUCUGCCAUGAGGGAGACACACAGGGAAGCUCACUUCCUCUAUUUGCAAAAUCGAUAUCAAGAGAUUUCGGAAGCAUAAUUUUUUGGCAGAAGGGCAGCUAGUAAUCUUGAUUCUCACAUGUCCCC